GGUGGUGGAGAAUGAGCUGAGCUAGAAAGCAAGACUUUCGAAUUACCAGUCAAUUUAUGUUCCUAUCCUCACCUAUGGUCAUCAGCUGUAGGUAAUGAUCAAAAGAACAAGGCCAUGUUUACCAGGGGUGGAAAUGAGAUUCUUCCAUCGAUAUCUGAGCUUACACUCCAAGACAGGAUGAGAAGCUCAAAUA